rnacentral:rRNA from 1 species
GACGAACGCUGGCGGCGUGCUUAACACAUGCAAGUCGAACGGUGAAGGGAUCAGCUUGCUGGUUCUGGAUGAGUGGCGAACGGGUGAGUAACACGUGAGUAACCUGCCCCCUUCUUCUGGAUAACCGCAUGAAAGUGUGGCUAAUACGGGAUAUUCUGGGUCUGUCGCAUGAUGGGUCUGGGAAAGAUAUUGUUUCGGUGGGGGAUGGGCUCGCGGCCUAUCAGCUUGUUGGUGGGGUGAUGGCCUACCAAGGCGGUGACGGGUAGCCGGCCUGAGAGGGUGGACGGUCACACCGGGACUGAGACACGGCCCAGACUCCUACGGAGGCAGCAGUGGGGAAUAUUGCACAAUGGGCGCAAGCCUGAUGCAGCGACGCCGCGUGAGGGAUGGAGGCCUUCGGGUUGUAAACCUCUUUCGCCAGUGAAGCAGGCCUGCUCCUUGUGGGUGGGUUGACGGUAGCUGGAUAAGAAGCGCCGGCUAACUACGUG